GUGUUUGUAGCCUAGUUGGUUCAAGGCAGCACUCUAUUGUGUCUCAGUUCUACUGAGGUUUAGAGUUCCAAUCUCACCAGACACA